GACGAACGCUGGCGGCGUGCUUAACACAUGCAAGUCGAACGGAAAGGCCCUGCUUUUGUGGGGUGCUCGAGUGGCGAACGGGUGAGUAACACGUGAGUAACCUGCCCUUGACUUUGGGAUAACUUCAGGAAACUGGGGCUAAUACCGGAUAGGAGCUCCUGCUGCAUGGUGGGGGUUGGAAAGUUUCGGCGGUUGGGGAUGGGCUCGCGGCUUAUCAGCUUGUUGGUGGGGUAGUGGCGUACCAAGGCUUUGACGGGUAGCCGGCCUGAGAGGGUGACCGGCCACAUUGGGACUGAGAUACGGCCCAGACUCCUACGGGAGGCAGCAGUGGGGAAUAUUGCACAAUGGGCGGAAGCCUGAUGCAGCAACGCCGCGUGCGGGAUGACGGCCUUCGGGUUGUAAACCGCUUUCGCCUGUGACGAAGCGUGAGUGACGGUAAUGGGUAAAGAAGCACCGGCUAACUACGUG
rnacentral:rRNA from 1 species